CCUCCAAUUGUUGUGAUAUUUUGUUCAUUGCUUCCUCCUCUGCAUUUUAGGGUAACUAAUUCACCAUGAACAAAAUUUACUCGGUUCAGUGAAAUAAUCGACAACGUUGGGGCUGAAAAUGAGGCAACUAUUUUUCUGUUUUUAUUUGAUUAUGUGCUUUUCAGUUGUAGGAUCAUUUAUUUACUAGGGUUUAGUGUUUGUAAUGGAAGGUUUUGUUUGAUAUACUUGAUGGAUUUGAGAUUCCAAGUUAUGCUGUUGAGUUGAUUGAUGAAAUGACUCGGUUGUGCAGUGGGUUCUUUUAUCACAACCUUAUAUGUUUGGACAGAGUGAAAAAUCUAAGUUCGACCAAUUUAUUCAACUUCUCCUAAUGAAUCUGCCAAGCGCAAAGAUCAUAGCGACUAACUAGCUUCUUUGACAAGGGACUUGAGAUGGAUUUUUACUUGGAGCACCGGGGCAGGAUUUCAGUUUUUACAGGAAUACAUCUUUCAACUUAUUGUCAGUUCCGCUGCUGUUCACAUGUACUAUAAAAGCCCCUGGUGCAACACAAUCUUGAAUUUCAAGACUGGGAAGUAGCCGAAUUGCAUCAAUUGUUAACUUCUCCUUCGUAGAAAGGUAACCAAUAAACAUUCUAUUUUGCAAUUAAUGGUUGAACUUCCCAUAAUGGUAAUUUGAUGUAAGAUAUCAAAAAUGUUCCAAUUCUACUUUAUAAGCAUAGAUGCCAAGCCACGCUUGCUAAAUGGUAGUAAGUAUAUGAUUCGUAAUGGGUUUGAUGGUUUUAACAUAGUGUUACUUUCUAUCUUAGCUCAAAUGAUAGAGCGCAUGGUUUGUGACCAUGUAGUUGUGGGUUCGAUAUCCACAGAAGGCACAUAAAUUAUGUGAUUAGACUUCUAUAUAUCCACGCA